GGACCCGUAGCUCAGCCAGGAUAGAGCGCCGGCCUUCGGUCUAAUGAGGAAAGCCGGUGGUCCCGGGUUCAAGUCCCGGCGGGUCCG
rnacentral:tRNA from 1 species